GAGUCAUCAUCUCAGCAAUCUGCAAUCAAUUUUACGUUUUAUUCUCUGAAUAACAACCCAUGAUAAAAACAAAGAUGUUGACUAGAAUACUUACGUCGUUCAACUGCUCUUCGGUUGCCCCGUGCUCCUUUAAGUUACUGCAGUGUAUACGUCAGAUGCUUUGCCUCUUUGGCAGGAAUCAUUGCGAGUUGCUGGAUCUGUUCUUGUUCUACAUAUUUUUUGGUGCGGACCAAUCUACAAAGCAGUGAGUAUGUAUAAUGUUCAUAGGUAUGUAUAAUAUGAUAUGCUACCCAAUUAAUCGAUUACCUGAAUAUUCUCGCAGCCUUUGAUCCAAACCGUUCCAUGACUAUAUUUUCUAGCGUUGUCCAUGUCAGUUGUGUGAAGGCUUCUUUCAUAUUUAUGCUAAACUGUCCACCUCCACUAUCCCCGACUCUUCUCAAAAACUGACAUGUAUCCUCCUCUGGAAUUAUAUGUUUUUUUGUAUGUUUGUUUUCAUUGGUCUGGAAUGAUAUAUUCAAGGUCCUGAAGCUAUCAUUUUAUAAUCAUGUUUCUUUUAUC
rnacentral:misc_RNA from 1 species